rnacentral:piRNA from 1 species
UGGCAAAGUUUGUGAUGACAUCUAGGAUGU